rnacentral:tRNA from 1 species
GCGGAUGUAGUUCAAUGGCAGAACAUCAGCUUCCCAAGCUGAUAGUGCGGGUUCGAUUCCCGUCAUCCGCUCCA